GAGUCAGACACAACUGAGCAACUGAACUGAACUGAACUGGACUGAAUAACUUUGAAUUUUGUUUAUUCUCCUUCUUUUAGUUCCUUUAGGUAUAAUGUUAAGUCAUUUGAGAUUUUUCCUGUUUUCUAAGGCCUGGUAGACGAUAUAUCCUGGAGCAUGUUCCACGUACACUGGAAAAGAAUCUGGGCUGCUGUUUUUGGGUGGAAUGUUCUAUAACAUCUACACUGAAUAAGAUGCCAUUGUCUAGAUGUACCACAGUUUAUCACCUACAGAAGGACAUCGUGUUUGCUCCCAAGGUUUGGCAAUUAUGAAUAAAGCUGCUAUAAACAAACAUGUGC